GAUGAACGCUGGCGGCGUGCCUAAUACAUGCAAGUCGAGCGAAUGGAUUAAGAGCUUGCUCUUAUGAAGUUAGCGGCGGACGGGUGAGUAACACGUGGGUAACCUGCCCAUAAGACUGGGAUAACUCCGGGAAACCGGGGCUAAUACCGGAUAACAUUUUGAACCGCAUGGUUCGAAAUUGAAAGGCGGCUUCGGCUGUCACUUAUGGAUGGACCCGCGUCGCAUUAGCUAGUUGGUGAGGUAACGGCUCACCAAGGCAACGAUGCGUAGCCGGCCUGGGAGGGUGAUCGGGCAGACUGGGACUGAGAGACGGCACAGACUCCUACGGGGGGCAGCAGUAGGGAGUCUUCCGGAAUGGACGAAAGUCUGACGGAGCAACGCCGCGUGAGUGAUGAAGGCUGUCGGGUCGUAAAACUCUGUUGUUAGGGAAGAACAAGUGCUAGUUGAAUAAGCUGGCACCUUGACGGUACCUAACCAGAAAGCCACGGCUAACUACGUGCCAGCCGCCGCCGUAA
rnacentral:rRNA from 1 species